rnacentral:rRNA from 1 species
AUGGCGAGCCACGGAGGACACGACCACGACGCGCUCUGGGCCAAGCUCUGGGAGCUGGAGCUGCAGCUCGCGGCGUACAAGCUGCUGCACGCCGCGCGGCGCGGGGAGGAGGACGACGCGGACGCGGACGGCGUGCGGGAGCCCGCUGGGGCCGGCGCCUGCCGCCGCGGCAGGCAGUACGACGCCUACAUGCGCCGGCGCGACGCCAGGCGCGUGUCCGUCGCCGCGGUGGCCAAGAGCCAGCAGCAGCAGCAGCAGAGGCCGAGCGGCGUCAGUGUCACGCGCGCCGGCGGCAGGCCGAGCCCGCUCACCGUCAGGUGCGCCGCUCGGGACACGCCGCAGGUGAGGAGGACGGUGCCGUCGGGAGUGUCCGCUGCGGCCACCCCGAGGAAGGAGCACGGCGCGCUGCCACUGCCCAGGAGCAGGACGGUGAGAGGCGGCGCGCCUGAAGCGAGGCCGCAGUCGCACAGAAGGCGGAACAGCGUCGGCGGCGACCUGGGCGAGUGCGCCACGCCGAGGCCGUUCCUGAGGCGCGGCAGCGGGACCGGCGGCGCGAUCGGGAACCUGCGGUCCCCGAGGGUGCACGACCUCCCCAGCGGCAGCCCGAGCCCGAGGCGGCCGCCGCAGGACCAGUUCGUCCCAAAGGUGGCGGCCGGGCGCCACCUCCGGUCCGUGUCGGAGCUGCCGCUCCACGCGACGGUGGAGUCGCCGAGGUGGGCGGAGACGCCGCGGCCGGCCCAGUCACGGGCCAGGAAGCGGUGGGGCAGCCUGGAGAGCCCGCCGCCGGCGAUCUUCUCGGCCCCGGCGGCCAACCCGCACAUGGACCUGGCCAAGGGGCUCCGGAAGCUGCUGAGCUUCGUGAGGAAGGGCAAGAGCAGCGAGCAUCGGCGCUCCGACGGCGGACGUGAAUCCGGCGACGGGAAGCCCGUGAAGGGGUGGACAGCUUGCUCCGUCCUUGAUGGCCCGUUCGAACGUGCGAGCCUGGAGGGGCACCGGUUCCCCAUGACACGGGCAGUCGGCACCUCCGGAUGA